rnacentral:rRNA from 1 species
UACAGGGGGGGCAAGCGUUGUUCGGAAUUACUGGGCGUAAAGGGUCUGUAGGUGGCCAACUAAGUCAGACGUGAAAUCCCUCAGCUUAACUGGGGAACUGCGUCUGAUACUGGAUGGCUUGAGUGUGGGAGAGGAAUGCGGAAUUCCAGGUGUAGCGGUGAAAUGCGUAGAUAUCUGGAGGAACACCAAUGGCGAAGGCAGCUCGCUGGGACGGUACUGACGCUGAGGCGCGAAAGCGUGGGGAGCAAACAGG